rnacentral:rRNA from 1 species
UGAAAGGCGCUUUUGGUGCCGUUGAUGGAUGGGCCUGCGGCGCAUUAGCUGGUUGGUGGGGUAACGGCUCACCAAGGCGACGAUGCGUAGCCGACCUGAGAGGGUGAUCGGCCACACUGGGACUGAGACACGGCCCAGACUCCUACGGGAGGCAGCAGUAGGGAAUCUUCCACAAUGGGUGCAAACCUGAUGGAGCAAUGCCGCGUGAAUGAAGAAGGUCUUCGGAUCGUAAAGUUCUGUUAUUAGAGAAGAACAAGUCAAGGAGUAACUGUCUUGACUUUGACGGUACCUAACCAGAAAGCCACGGCUAACUACGUGCCAGCAGCCGCGGUAAUACGUAGGUGGCAAGCGUUAUCCGGAAUUAUUGGGCGUAAAGCGCGCGUAGGCGGUUUCUUAAGUCUGAUGUGAAAGCCCACGGCUCAACCGUGGAGGGUCAUUGGAAACUGGGGAACUUGAGUGCAGAAGAGGAGAGUGGAAUUCCAUGUGUAGCGGUGAAAUGCGCAGAGAUAUGGAGGAACACCAGUGGCGAAGGCGGCUCUCUGGUCUGUAACUGACGCUGAUGUGCGAAAGCGUGGGGAUCAAACAGGAUUAGAUACCCUGGUAGUCCACGCCGUAAACGAUGAGUGCUAAGUGUUAGGGGGUUUCCGCCCCUUAGUGCUGCAGCUAACGCA